ACCGGCGCACGGGUGAGUAACACGUAUCCAACCUGCCUUCAACUCAGGGAUAGCCUUUCGAAAGAAAGAUUAAUACUUGAUGGCAUAACCUGGUCUCCUGACUUGGCUAUUAAAGAAUUUCGGUUGAAGAUGGGGAUGCGUUCCAUUAGGCAGUUGGCGGGGUAACGGCCCACCAAACCUACGAUGGAUAGGGGUUCUGAGAGGAAGGUCCCCCACAUUGGAACUGAGACACGGUCCAAACUCCUACGGGAGGCAGCAGUGAGGAAUAUUGGUCAAUGGACGAGAGUCUGAACCAGCCAAGUAGCGUGAAGGAUGACUGCCCUAUGGGUUGUAAACUUCUUUUAUAUGGGAAUAAAGUUCAGUAUGUAUACUGUUUUGUAUGUACCAUAUGAAUAAGGAUCGGCUAACUCCGUGCCAGCAGCCGCGGUAAUACGGAGGAUCCGAGCGUUAUCCGGAUUUAUUGGGUUUAAAGGGAGCGUAGGCGGACGCUUAAGUCAGUUGUGAAAGUUUGCGGCUCAACCGUAAAAUUGCAGUUGAUACUGGGUGUCUUGAGUGCAGCAGAGGUAGGCGGAAUUCGUGGUGUAGCGGUGAAAUGCUUAGAUAUCACGAAGAACUCCGAUUGCGAAGGCAGCUUACUGGACUGUAACUGACGCUGAUGCUCGAAAGUGUGGGUAUCAAACAGGAUUAGAUACCCUGGUA
rnacentral:rRNA from 1 species